AUGCAGGUAGAAUAUAGGGCUCUCAUGGAGAACCGGACGUGGCGCCUCGUCCCUCGACCUCGCGGCGCCAACAUCAUCACCGGCAAAUGGCUCUUCCGCCACAAGCUCAAGUCCGAUGGCUCACUCGAACGCUACAAGGCACACUGGGUGGUGCGCGGCUUCUCGCAGCGCCCCGGCGUCGACUUUGACGAGACAUUCUCUCCGGUGGUCAAGGCGGCCACAAUCCGCGUCGUGCUCACCAUCGCCACCACGCGCCAGUGGCCAGUGCACCAGAUGGACGUCAACAACGCGUUCCUCCACGGGCAUCUCUCCGAGCAGGUAUACUGCCAACAGCCGGCCGGCUUCGUCGACACGGAUCGCCCUGAGCACGUGUGUCUGCUGGACAAGUCACUCUAUGGGCUCAAGCAGGCGCCGCGGGCUUGGUUUGGUCGGUUC
rnacentral:rRNA from 1 species